rnacentral:tRNA from 1 species
GUCCCUGUAGCGCAAUGGAUAGCGCGUUGGACUUCUAACCCGAAGGUCGUGGGUUCGAGUCCCUCCUGGGAUG